AACGAACGCUGGCGGCAUGCCUAACACAUGCAAGUCGAACGAGACCUUCGGGUCUAGUGGCGCACGGGUGCGUAACGCGUGGGAACCUGCCCUUAGGUUCGGAAUAACUCCCCGAAAGGGGUGCUAAUACCGGAUAAUGUCUUCGGACCAAAGAUUUAUCGCCUUUGGAUGGGCCCGCGUUGGAUUAGCUAGUUGGUAGGGUAAAAGCCUACCAAGGCGACGAUCCAUAGCUGGUCUGAGAGGAUGAUCAGCCACACUGGGACUGAGACACGGCCCAAACUCCUCCGGAAGGGGGAAUGGGGGAAUAUUGGCAAUGGGCGAAAGCCUGAUCCAGCAAUGCCGCGUGAGUGAUGAAGGCCUUAGGGUUGUAAAGCUCUUUUACCCGGGAUGAUAAUGACAGUACCGGGAGAAUAAGCUCCGGCUAACUCCGUG
rnacentral:rRNA from 1 species